rnacentral:rRNA from 1 species
AGUGAACGCUGGCGGUAGGCCUAACGCAUGCAAGUCGAACGGCAGCACAGUAAGAGCUUGCUCUUACGGGUGGCGAGUGGCGGACGGGUGAGGAAUACAUCGGAAUCUACUUUUUCGUGGGGGAUAACGUAGGGAAACUUACGCUAAUACCGCAUACGACCUACGGGUGAAAGCAGGGGAUCUUCGGACCUUGCGCGAUUGAAUUAGCCGAUGUCGGAUUAGCUAGUUGGCGGGGUAAAGGCCCACCAAGGCGACGAUCCGUAGCUGGUCUGAGAGGAUGAUCAGCCACACUGGAACUGAGACACGGUCCAGACUCCUACGGGAGGCAGCAGUGGGGAAUAUUGGACAAUGGGCGCAAGCCUGAUCCAGCCAUACCGCGUGGGUGAAGAAGGCCUUCGGGUUGUAAGGCCCUUCUGUUGGGAAAGAAAAGCAGCAGGUUAAUACCCCGCUGUUCUGACGGUACCCAAAGAAUAAGCAACGGCUAACUUCGUG